AUUAAAUAAAUAUAAUUUGAAAUAUUUCUUAUAUAGAUUUAAAGAGAUAAUCAAGGAUUAUAAAAGCUAUUAAUAAUAAUAGGUUACUAAUAAAAUAUAUAUUUUAUAUAUAUAUUUUUAAAACCUAAGGUAAACCUAAUAAAAUAUAAAUUAAGUGAACUGAAACAUCUAAGUAACUUAAAGAAUAUAAAUCAACAGAGAUAUUAUGAGUAUUGGUGAGAGAAAAUAAUAUAGUCAAAUUAUAUAUAUAUUAUUAUAUAUAAUAAGUUAAGUAUUAUGUAAACAUAUUAUGUAAGAAUAUAGGACAAACUAGUUCUAAGACUAAAUAUUAUUAAUAAGCAAAUUAAGUACCGUAAGGGAAAAUAAGUAAUUGGUUAUUUUAUAAGCAGUUAUAAAUAUAUAUUAAUAUAUUAAUAACGUACCUUUUGUAUAAUGGGUCAGCAAGUAAUUAGUAUUAGCAAAAUAAUAAUUAAAUUAUUAUAAAUAAUUUGAAUAUAAACAUUGUAUAUAUAAUUUAUAUAUAUUUUUAUAUAUAAAUAAUUAGUUAAUAUUAAUUGACCCGAAAGCGGACGAUCUUAAUAUGACCAGACGGAAACGGUCGAACAGGUUGAUGUUGCAAUAUCAUCUGAUGAGUUGUGUUAAGCGGUGAAAGACAAAUCUGGUUCGCAAAUAGCUGGUUUUCCACGAAAUAUAUGUUAGUAUAGCCCUUAUAAUUUUUAAUAUUAUUAUUUAAUAAAAUAAUAAAGAAUGGUACAGCUAUAAAUAUUAUUUGGGGAAUAAUUGUUAUUUUAUCAAAGGUAUUUAAUCUCGAAAUGUUUAUUAAUAAAAUAUAAGGAGUCAGACUAUACGCGAUAAGGUGAAUAGUCUAAAGGGAAACAGCCCUGAAUAAGAUAUAAAGUUCUAAAUUAGAUAAUAAGUGAAAUAAAUAUUUAAAUAUUAUAAUACAAUCAGUUAAUGGGUUUGACAAUAACCAUUUUUUAAUGAACAUGUAACAAUGCACUGAUCUAUAUAUAAUAAUAAUAUUUAAAACCAUAAUUAUUACUUUUUUUUAAUAAUUAUGUAAAUAAAUAAUAUAACGGAUCUUAAUUUAUAAUUAUCUAACUGAAUAUCUAUAUAUUAUUAUAUAAUAUUUAAUAUAAUAAUAUGGUAGUGGAACAUUUAAUGAAUAAUAUAUAUAUUUUAAUUAUAAAUAUAUAUAAAUUAAUUAAAUAGAGAAUGCUGACAUGAGUAACGAAAAAAAGGUAUAAUCCUUUUCACCUAAAGCAUAAGGUUUAACAAUAAAAGUACGGCCCUUAAGUAAUAUAUGAAUAUAAAUAUAUAAUACGAUAGGAUAAUUCUAAUAAAUAUACAUAUUUUUAUUAUAUAUAUAUAAACUAAUAAAAAUCAAGAAAUAGUAUGUUUUCCCGCCCAACUCUUUAUAAGAGUUGGGCGGGGUAUAUAAGAUACCGUAAUGUAUACCGACUCUGGUAUGUUAGUAGAGAAUAUGAAGGUGAAUUAGAUAAUUAAAGGGAAGGAACUCGGCAAAAAUAGCUCUAACGUUAGUCAAAAAAGAGUAAUAAAAACAAGGUUGUCCAACUGUUUACUAAAAACACCGCACUUUGCAAAAACGUUAAGUUAUAGUAUAAGGUGUGAACUCUGCUCCAUGCUUAAUUCAUAAAUUAUAUUAUUAUUAUGAUAUAUAUAAUUAAAUUUAAGUAAAUAGCAGCCUUAUUAUGAGGGUUCUAAGGUAGCGAAAUUCCUAGGCCAAUAAUUGUGGUCCUGCAUGAAUGACGUAAUGAUACAACAACUGUCUCCCCUUUAAGCUAAGUGAAAUUGAAAUCGCAGUGAAGAUGCUGUGUACCUGUAGUAAGACGAAAAGACCCUUUGCAGCUUUACUGUAAUUAGAUAGAUCGAAUUAUUAUAUAUUUUGUUCAGUAUAUUAAGUAAUAGAUUAUAUUCAAAUGAAAUACUUAUCUAAAUAUCAUAAUAUAUAUAUUUAUAUAUAUAUUUAUAAUAAUUCUUAUCUUUAUAUAAUAUAUUUAAUAGAUAUAAUAUUCUUAAAUAUUAUUAUAUAUAUAUAUUAUACUUUUUUAUAAUAUAUAUAUAUAAUUAAAGAAACAAUCUCUAAUUGGUAGUUUUGAUGGGGCGUCAUUUUCAGCAAAAGUAUCUGAAUAAGUCCAUAUAUAUUUUAUAAUAUUAUUUUAGUAAAAUUAUAAAUUAUAUAUAAUAAUUAUAAAUAUCCAUAUUUAUAUUAUUUUAUUUAUAAUAUAAAUAAGGUAAAUAAUAGAAAAAAUUAUGUACAGUAAAAUUGUCAUGAAAACAAUAAUAUAAAACUAUAUUAAAUUAAUAUAAUGGUAUAACUGUGCAACAAUUGUAACACUUACAAGUGAAACAAGUACGUAAGUAUGGCAUAAUGAACAAAUAACACUGAUUGUAAUGGUUAUUGAUAACGAAUAAAAGUUACGCUAGGGAUAAAACAGGGUAAUAUAACGAAAGAGUAGAUAUUGUAAGUUAUGUUUGCCACCUCGAUGUCGACUCUACCUAUCCUCCUGGUUGUAAGUGCUAGGAAGGGUUUGACUGUUCGUCAAUUAAAAGGUAACGUGAGUUGGGUUAAAUACGAUGUGAAUCAGUAUGGUUUCUAUCUUCUAUAGGGAAUAUUAUCAAUUUAAAUCUCAUUUUUAGUACGCAAGGAUCAAAAUGAAUUAAUCUAUGGUGUACCUAUUGAUUAAUUAUAAUUAAUAUUAGUUUAUAUUUUUAUAUAUAUAUAUAUUAUAUAUAUAUAAUAUAUAUUAAUCAUUGUAGGAAAGCUAAAUUAAUAAAUAAUAAGUAUUGAAUGCAUAUAAAUACGAAGUAGUUUUAAAGAGAUAAUUAUAGUUUAUUUUAUACUAAAAUCUAAUAAUAGGAUUAAAUUUAUAAAAUUUAAUUACUAAUUAAACUAUCAUCUAUAUA
rnacentral:rRNA from 1 species